AAACAGCUCCGGAUCAAGUGGAGCACACCAACUCUCGCUGAUCAAGAAUCCUAAGAAGGGGGACCGUCAGCUUGCCUACCUGCACCUGCGGGCAUGAAACUCAGGCCUCGUGAAAUAGGGCGUCAGUACGAAAAAUGUACUGAUUAUGUAAGGCAUGAAAAUUAGUACGUAAGAGACAUAGAUGAAACAUGGAAUAAGGAAACAUAUCUUUAAAUCUGAAUAACUUUAUAAAUUCUGAAACGUUUAUAAUGUCAUGCACGUGCGUAUAAAUGUCGUUCCAUGCAUAGGUGUGGGUGUACAUAAUAUCAGGGCAUCCCAUCAUAUCAUCUCGGCCACUGUGGGCAACAUCAUCAACACAUACCCGCUGAUCAGGUGGUGGUUCGUAUAUAACGCCGUAACCUUUUCCCAUAUCCCAUAUACAUAUAUUUACAUAUAUACGUGUAUAUAACUCCAUCUGGUCAUGGGUCAAUACACAUAUAUAAAUGAGUGAAAUGUAUGAAAAAUAUGUAAAAAUCUCAAUAUUCGUUCUGGAUAAACUUUUUCAACUGCGUAUUAUUCUGAGACCCAUGAACAAAAGAUAAUAAUAAUUCACAUGGGGAAUCAAGAAUAUAGACACCCAUAGUAUUUUUAUGAAUAGAUUAAUCUAUGUAAACUGUGCGUUUUCUCGUUUCUUCAGUAUAAUUUGGACCAUGCCUAAAGAAAGAAGGGAUGACCUUAACAUACCUGGAGUAGGAACAACUCCGUAUAAUUAUCCCGUUGGAAACCUUUGUGGAUUGAACUUUGAACCCAAAAAUAGGAUUUAAGCUUCUGUGCUUUUGAACUUGAGGAACGAAAUUGGCUUGGAUUUUGGACGAAUGGAUUCUGCUCUAACGUUUUUCGUUUUUAAACCAAAGACAAAAU
rnacentral:lncRNA from 1 species